AGAGGCAGGUAGAUCUCUGUGAGUUCGAGGCCAGCCUGGUCUACCUACAUUGAGUUCCAGGACAACCAGGGCUACACAGAGAAACCCCGUCUCAAAAA
ensembl:miRNA